GACCUCCUGAUGCUUACCACAGGCUGUUUUUACAGUGACUGUAUAGAAAGAGGAGGCAAAGUAAACCUACUUUGUAUACACCUCAGCCUGGGCCCUGUGCCUGGUCUAUAUGGUGAAUGGAGAGAGAUAG
rnacentral:snoRNA from 1 species